rnacentral:lncRNA from 1 species
CAUUGUUUUCAUUUUCGUUUGUAUCAAGGCAUUUCUUGACUUCCUUUUUUAUUUCUUCUUGACUAUUGAUAAUCAAUUACCCAUUGGUUAUUCAUGAGCAUGUUGUUUAAUUUCCACAUAUUUUAUAUUUUCUGAAAUUCAUUCUUUUAUGAUUUCUAGUUUUGUACCACUGUGAACAGAAAAGAUACUUAUGAUUUCACUCCUCUUAAAUGUAAGACCUGUUUUGUGACCUAAAAUAUGACCUAUCUUGGAGAAUGUUUAAUAUGCCCUUGAGAAGAGUAUGUAUCCUAAUCCUGUUGGACUGCAUGUUCUUUAGACAUGUUAGGUCCAUUUGAUCUAAAGUGUAAGGGGGGUGAGUAUAAGUCCACGCGAGUAUAAGUACAAGUCCAGUGUUUUCUUUUUGAUGUUCUAUCUAGAUGAUUUGUCCAUUGUUGAAAGUGGCAUAUUGAAGUCCCAUAAUAUUAUUGUAUUGCAGUCUAUAUUUCCCUCAGUUCAUUUAAUUGCUUUAUAUAUUUAGGUUGGGUGCAUAUAUAUUUACAAUUUGCAUAUCCUCUCGAUAAAUUGGCCUUUUAAUCAUAUCUUUGUCUCUUUUUAAAGUUUGUAACUUUAAGUCUAUUUUGCCUGAUAUAAACAUAGCUACCCCUGCUCUCAUUUGGUUUCCAUUUGCAUGGAUAUCUUUUUCUAUCUUUUCACUUUUCACUCUAUGUAUCUCUUUACUAGUAAAGUAAGUCUCUUGUAGGCAGUAUAGAGUUGGGUCUUAUUUUUUUAACCCAACCAGUCAUUCUGUCUUUUGAUUGGAUAAUUUAAUCUAUUUACAUUCAAGGAAUUAUUAAUAGGUAAGGAUGUAUUAUUGCCAUUUUAAAGUUAUUUUUGGUUGUUUUGUAGAUUCUUUGUUUCUUUCUUGUCUUUUUUGUGGUUUGGUGGUUUUCUGUGGUGGUAUGCUUUGAAUCUUUUCUUUCUGUUUUGUGAAACUACUUUAGGUUUUUAAUUUGUGGUUACCAUGAAACUUAUAUAAAAUAUUUUAUAUUUAGGCUGUUUUAAUCUGACAUCUUAAUUCUAAUUGCAUACAAAAAUUCUAUAUUUAUACUCACCUCCUUAUAUUUUAUGAUAUUGACUUCAAAAUGUACACCUUUUUGUGAUUUGUAUUUCUCAACAAUUUAUUGUACCUGUAGUUGUUGUUAAUAGUUUUGUGUUUUACCUCUCAUAUUAGAGAUAAAAUUGCUUUCCACAUCACCCUUACAAUAUCAGAAUAUUUGGAAUAUAAUUAUGUAUUACUUAUUUGAUUGACUUUUGUACUUUCAUGUGUUUUAUGUUGUUAAUUAGCAGUCUUUCAUAUUAGCUUAAAGAACUUUCCCUAGAAAUUCCUAUUAAGAAGGCUUAGUGGUGAUUAAUUUUCUUAGUUUUUGUUUGCCUGGGAAAGGUUUUGUGUUCCUCAUUCCUGAAGGACAGCUUUACCAGAUAAAGCAUCCUUACUUGGCAGUUAUUUCCCCCCAGUACUUUGAAUAUUCAUCCUACUUCUCCUUGUCUGCAGCGCUUUUGCUAAGAAAUCUGCUGACAGAUGUAUUGGGACUUACUUGUAUGUGGCAUAUCUUUUGUAUUUUGCUGCUUUCAGAAUUACUGUCAUUGAUUUUUGAAGAUUUUAUUAUGAUGUGUCUUGGUGAGUUUCUCUUUGGUUUGUAUUUGAUUGCAGAGAUCUAAGCUUUUGUAUUAGACCAUUCUUGCAUUGCUAUAAAGAAAUACCUGAGACUGGGUAAUUUAUAAAGAAAAGAAUUUACCAUUAUUGCAGGCUGUACAGGAAUCAUGCUGCUGGCAUCUGCUCAGCUUCUGGGGAGGCCUCAGGAAACUUAAAACCAUGGUGGAAGGUGAAGGUGCAACAGGAACAUCACAUGGCCAGAGCAAGAGCAAGAGAGAGUAAGGGCUUGUUGCUACACACUUUUAAAUGACAAGAUCUCAUGAGAAAUCACUCACUAUCAUGAGGACAGUAACAAGAGGGAUGAUGCUAAACCAUUCACGAGAUAUGCCCCAUGAUCCAAUCAUCUCCCACCAGGCCCCACCUCCAACAUUGGAAAUUAUAAUUAAAACAUGAGAUUUUGGUGGGAACACAGAUCCCAACCAUAUCAGCUUCCUAUACCUGGAUGGUGGUGUUUUCCCAAGAUUUGAGAAAUUUUCACUCAAUAGUUCCUUAAAAAUGCUUUGUUGGCCUUUUCUCUCUCUUCUCCUUCUAAACACCUACUACGCAAAGUUUAGUUCUCUUGAUGGUUUCCCGUAACUCCCACAGGCCUUCUUCAUUCUUUUUUAUUCUUUUCUCUUUUUGUUCCUUUGACUGGAUAAUUUCCAAUAUCCUGUCAUGGAGCUCACUGAUUCUUUAUUAUGAUUUAGGAAGCCUGCUACUGAAGUUUUCUACUAAAUAUUUUUGUUCACUUAUUGUAUUUUUAUUUCUAGGAUUUUUCUUAUUUAUAAUUAUUUCUAUUUUUGUCAAACUUAUUUUGUUCAUGAAUUGUGGCUUUUGAUUGGAUAAUUUAAUCUAUUUACAUUUAAAGUUGACAAGUUAGGACUUUCAAAAAGUUGCCAUUUUGUUCAUUGUUUUAUGAAGGUUAUGUGGUUCCGUUGUCCUUUGUUUCCUUCUUCUCUUGCUAUCAUUUUUUUUACAUUUGAAUAACACAGGAUUUCUUUUAUUUUUAUUUUUUAACUUGUAUUUUAAGUUCAGGGGUACAUGUGCAGGAUGUGCAGGUUUGUUACAUAGGCAAAUGUGUGUCAAGGGGGUUGGCUGUACAGAUUAUUUCAUCGGCCAGGUGUUAAGCCUAGUAUCCAUUAGUUAUUUUUCCUGAUAUUCUCCUUCCUCCAACCCUCUGCCCUCUGGUAGGCCCCAGUGUAUAUUGUUCUCCUCUAUGUGUCUAAGUGUUCUUAUCAUUUAGCUCCAACUUAUAAAUAAGAACACAUGGUAUUUGGUUUUCUGUUCCUGCAUUAGUUUGCUAAGGAUGAUGGCCUCCAGCUCCAUCCAUGUUUCCUCAAGGAUCUAGAGACAGAAAUGCCACUCAACCCAGAAAUCCCAUUACUGGGUAUAUACCCAAAGGAAUAUAAAUCAUUCUAUUAUAAAGACACACGUAUAUUUAUGUUCAUCGCAGCACUAUUCACAAUAACAAAGACAUGGAAUCAACCUAAAUGCCCAUCAAUGAUAGACUGGAUAAAGAAAAUAUGGUACAUAUACUCCAUGGAAUACUAUGCAGCCAUAAAAAAUGAGUUCUUGUUCUUUUUAUUUGUAGUUUGUUAAUAUUUUCUAGCAGUAUACUUUGUUCUGUUCUCAUUCUAUUUUAUUUAUCUGCUAGAGGUUUUUUUCCUCUGUUGUUACCAGGGGGGUUAAAUGUAUAUCUUAUAGUUAUAACAGUCUAUUUUAAGCUGAUAGCAACUUCAAUUACAUAUAAAUCUCUAUACUUCUACUUCACUACUCUCACCUGUAUGCUAUUGAUAUCACACUUUAUAUUUUCUGUGAAUGAAUAUACAAUAUAAAAGAUAUAACUAUUCUUUCACAAAUAUUAUGGCUAUAGUUAUUUCUAAUACCUUAGUCUUUUUUCUUUUAUACUAGAGUCAAAAGUGAUUUACACACCACCAUUAAAGUAUUAGAAUAUUCUGAAUUUGCCUUUACCAGUUAGUUUUAUACUUUCAUGUGUUUUCAUAUUUUUACUUAAUAUCAUUUCAUUUUAACUUGAAGAACUCCUUUUAAUGUUUCUUGUAAGGCAGACCUAGUGGUGAUGAAGUCCCUCAGCUUUUGUUUGUUUGAGAAUGUCUUCAUCUCUCCCUUUCUGAAGGAAAACUUCUCUAGGUGUAGCAUUUUUGGAGCCUUUUUUUCAGCCUUUUGAAUAUAUAAUCCCAUACUCUCCUAGCCUGCAAGAUUUCUGUUAAGAAACCCAUUGGCAGCCUCAUUAAAGUUCUCUUGUGUGUGAUGAGUCAUUUUUCUCUUGCUGCUUUCACAGUACUCCUUUUGUCUGACUUUUGACAAUUUGAUUAGAAUAUUCAAGAAUAUUCAGAAAUUAUUUUAGUUGACCUUUCUUGGGGACCUUUAAGCUUUAUGAAUUUGUAGUCCCAUAUUGCUGUCAAGAUUUGGGACGUUUUCAGCCAUUAUUUAUUUAAACAAGCUUCCUUCCCUUUUCUCUCAUUUCUUGUUAUGAAAUUCUUAUAAUGAAUUUAUUUGUUUGUUUUAUGAUGUACCAUAGGCGCUGUAUGCUUUUUUCACUCUUUUUCAUUCUUUUUUCUUUUUGUUCCUCUAACCAGGUAAUUUCAAAUGAGCUAUAUUUGAGUUUGCUGAUUCUUCUGCAUGACUGAGUCUGCUGUUUAUGCUCUCUAUUAAAUUUUUCAGUUCUGUCAUUGUAUUUUUUAGCUCCUAGAUUUCUGUUUGGUUAUUUUUAUAGUUUCUGUUUCUUAUUAAACUUCUCAUUGUGUUAAUGCUCUGUUUUUGUUAUUUUUAAAUAAUUAUCUAUCUAUGUUAUCUUACAUCCCAUUGAGCCAUUUUAAGAUGAUUAUUUUGAAUUCUUUGUCAGAUAAUUUGUAGAUCAUCAUUUCUUUGAUGUCAGUUACUAGAGCUUUGCUAGUUUCCUUAGGCAGUGUCAUGUUUGCUUAAUUGUUUGUAAUCCAGGUAGCCUUGCAUUGGUAGCUGAGCACUGGAAGAGAUAAAGACCUCUUUCAGUCUUUACAACCACUUUCAGCAAGUAAAUACCUUCUCCUGUUAGGUCCCCAGGAUAAUGGGAUUGCCUCUGGAAUUUCAGUUCAGUGAGGUUGAAGCUGGGUCACAUAGUUCUUGCUGGGUCCACAGUGGGAUCUGUGAUUGGUAAGUCUGUUGUCAGGGGGCUUAGGUAGGCAUAUCUCCUAUGGGGUCCCUAAGCAGAUGAGACUGUCUCUGAUACCUUGGUCAGUAAAGUUGUCAUCGAGACAAGGAUCAUAUGCUUCAGGAUCCACAGUUGGAUCUGCAGAAGGUGGGCCUAUUAACAGGUUUGUGGACAGAUGUGGUUCCUCGUGCGUCCCUUGGUGGAUGGUGCUGGUGGCAAGACUAAGGCCAAAUGGGGCUGUAGCAGAGUCCAUAGGGGGAUGGAGCUGUUUCCAGGUUUGUAGCCAAGGUCACCAUCAGUGAGCCUGCCACCUGGGCACAGGCCUGCCUUCUCAAAACAGCUGUCAUCAGUCUUAGGGUCUACCAGAGCUUACAAUCACUUACUUGGAUCCCAUAGCUCCCACAAAGGCAUUUUUUUCCCAUAAAUGGCUGAGAAAUUAUUGUUGGAGUUGGGAGAAUAUGAAAGGAGACCUCCCAUGCCACCAAAUCGCUGACGUCACCCCUGUGUUGCAUUUUUAUACCACAUUCUCUAUGGUUAAGGAAUACAUUGAUUGUUUUUGGAAAAGAGCACUUAACAGUUUCUAAACAUUUAACAAAUAGCUAAUGAUUUUUUGUCAAUAUUUAUUGAGGCUGGCCUCACAUCACUAGGCCAGGUAUUAGAAGAGAAUAUCAAUAUUACUGAGAAAUUUGCUUUAAUCAGAGUUAUCUAACAAAGCAACCAAUUAAAAAAACACUCAUAAAUAUCACAUUUUACAAGAUGAUCUGAUCAAUCAGUACAAAGUUCUUAUCAUAAUCACAGAAUUGAGUAAUUACAGUUGUUCCUUGAUGUCCACAGGGGAUUGUUUCUAGAACCUUUCCCUUAUAACAAAAUCCACAGACGCUUAAGUCUGCAGUUGACUCUGCAAAACGCAUGAAUACAAAAAGUCUGCCCUCUAUAUCUGUGGGUUCUGCAUCCCACAAAUACUGUAUUUUUGAUCCACAGUUGGCUAAAUCUGCAGGUGCAGAACCCGUAAACACCAAAGGUUGACUGUAUUUGUUAAGUAAAUACUUACCUAAUACACUUUGGCUUUGACUUAGGUGGCAUUAACUCAAUAUUUCUAGAAGAUAUGUUUAUAAAGUCUACUUUAAUAGGUACCUUCAGAUCAUAACAAUAAAAUUGAUUUUGCUCUCUCUGUCUCUUUAAAAUGUGCAUGCACACACACACACACACACACACACACACCACACUCAAAUUGGUAUUCUGAAUGCUCCAAAUCAAAUCUUGGUGUUCUGAAAUAUAUCCUAAGAAAUGUCUAUUAUUGUCAAGGGGAACUCCUUCAUGAUGCAUACGCAACUAUGAGAAUGUUCUGCAUGUUUACUGUUUUCACUUCUGUCAUGAUCUAUUCAAGAAGGAAGUUUAUGUAUAAAACAUUAAGUGUACUAACCAAUUAAAUACAUAUUAAAAUGUAUCAACAUCAUUAAAGUCCAAC